rnacentral:sRNA from 1 species
CCGGAUGCCAGAUCGGGUCCGGCACGGGCGCCGGACCGGUUGUUCGCCGUCUAGCGCUCCUUCGUAUCCAUCUUGCUCUCAGGAGGACUUGGCUAUGAGGA